UCUCUCUCUCUCUCUCUCUCUCUCUCUCUCUCUCUGCCUCUCUCACUAAGGCACUACACUAAUAAGAAAGAAGCUGUAAAGGCUAGGUUGCAACGCCCACCUAUUUUUGUAUGGAAAAAUUUAGUUGCAGAGCCACAUGAAGGAUGUGAAUUCUCGUACACUUAGACACACAUACGAAGAAGAGAACUCCAGAGUUCUCUCUCUCGCAGACACUGUAUAUUGUUUAGUGUGUAAAGGCUCUGUAGGAGGAGGGUGGGAUGGAGGGAGGUGGGGGAUAACUGUAAGAAAAAGAGAGGGAUGUAGUGAGGGGAAAGAGAUGUUGGGGUUACGUCUUGAAGCUGUUGGUGGGGUCAAAAUAAAAAGAAGAUAGAAUGGAGGAUUAAAAUAUAGAGCUACAGAGCAAACGGCAGAAAGCUCAGAGGUUUUUUUUUUUUAAGAGAGAGGGUUCGGUAAUCACAGUUCCACUUCUCUGCAAUGUUACAGAUUGGCCAGUAUCUUGUUAAUAUAAGAGCCUCAUUAUUAAGCACCUAGGUCUGAAGAUGAGCUAAAUAAAAGGACAGAUGGUAGCCCAAAAUAUAUCAUUGAAUUGAAAGUGCUGUCGGAGGAGGGAUUUUGUAAUACACUUCCAUAGCCUUACGUUCCAUGAGCAUAAUGAAGCUAUAAUUAUGUUAACCAUUAGUUAUAGGUUACUUAGGCUAAGAAACAUGCUUUAAUGUCUUUUUUUUUUUAAAAAAAAAGAAAAGCAAUUCCUUUUAUUACUUU
rnacentral:lncRNA from 1 species